GCGAUUCUACAACGUUGUGGGCGUUUCGGGCUUAUCUUCACCGUCAGCUUUCUGGAGAUUCGUGCUACUUGCACUCUUGCAGAAACAACCUGCUCUUGUACACCUUCUUCUCCCUAAAGGAUCCAAAGUGUACAGGGCACAACUUCUCUUCUUCCCCGUGACGAUGUCUUCCUUAUCCUCUCACGCCCGUCGUCUCCACCACCUCCUUCCCUGUUUCUUUCCUUGCCGGCCGCUGGCCGUGGCCGAAGAAGAACCUGGCGUAUACCAGAUUACCAGGCCAAUCUUACCAGAUCCCAAACUUCAAGCUCGCGUCCUCGCUGCUCGUCUGCGCGCCGCGGCUCCCCGUCGUCCUUCUCGACCUCAUCCUCUACGGGCGAGCUUUUCUCCAACCUAUGGGAGCCAGCUGGAGCUGCUACAUUAAGAUCCAGAUUAUUUCUUGGAGCCUCUCCCUUGAUUCUUUUUCUUUGAAUCAAGAUUCACUGAGAUACAGAUCUCUAUUUCGAAAAAAAAACAAAGAUCCAGAUCAGUGUUCAUCAAGACAUUUUUAUGCACGAAUCCAUGGUACAGGUUCUUACAUGGCAUUUUUUUUUGUUAGGGAUGGAUGUUUGCUAAUAUCCAUGAUUUGUUUUGGUUCCUCGGCUUUAUCAAGAACUUUGUAUGAAUCCAUGGCCCAGAUCUUUUUUUC